rnacentral:rRNA from 1 species
UACGGAGGGUGCAAGCGUUGCUCGGAAUUAUUGGGCGUAAAGGGCAGGUAGGUGGUCUCAUUUAUCUGGGGUGAAAUCCUUGGGCUUAACCCAAGAAGUGCCCCGGAGACGGUGAGACUAGAGUUUUGGAGAGGGUCGUGGAAUUCCCGGUGUAGCGGUGAAAUGCGUAGAGAUCGGGAGGAACACCAGAGGCGAAAGCGGCGACCUGGACAAUGACUGACACUCAACUGCGAAAGCGUGGGGAGCAAACAGG